rnacentral:rRNA from 1 species
UACGGUGGGGGCAAGCGUUGUUCGGAAUUACUGGGCGUAAAGGGCUCGUAGGCGGCCAACUAAGUCCGACGUGAAAUCCCCAGGCUUAACCUGGGAACUGCGUCGGAUACUGGUUGGCUUGAAUCCGGGAGAGGGAUGCGGAAUUCCAGGUGUAGCGGUGAAAUGCGUAGAUAUCUGGAGGAACACCGGUGGCGAAGGCGGCAUCCUGGACCGGCACUGACACUGAGGCACGAAAGCGUGGGGAGCAAACAGG